UACGUAGGGUGCGAGCGUUAAUCGGAAUUACUGGGCGUAAAGCGUGCGCAGGCGGUUCGCUGUGUCCGAUGUGAAAGCCCCGGGCUUAACCUGGGAAUGGCAUUGGAAACUGGCGGGCUUGAGUGCGGCAGAGGGGGGUGGAAUUCCGCGUGUAGCAGUGAAAUGCGUAGAGAUGCGGAGGAACACCGAUGGCGAAGGCAGCCCCCUGGGCCUGCACUGACGCCUCAUGCACGAAAGCGUGGGGAGCAAACAGG
rnacentral:rRNA from 1 species